rnacentral:rRNA from 1 species
GGUGAGCGGCGAACGGGUGAGUAACACGUAGGUGAUCUGCCCAUCAGACGGGGACAACGAUUGGAAACGAUCGCUAAUACCGGAUAGGACGAAAGUUUAAAGGUGCUUCUGGCACCGCUGAUGGAUGAGCCUGCGGCGCAUUAGCUAGUUGGUAGGGUAAAGGCCUACCAAGGCGACGAUGCGUAGCCGACCUGAGAGGGUGAACGGCCACACUGGGACUGAGACACGGCCCAGACUCCUACGGGAGGCAGCAUG